UGGGGAAUCUUGGACAAUGGGCGCAAGCCUGAUCCAGCCAUGCCGCGUGGAUGAUGAAGGCCUUAGGGUUGUAAAAUCCUUUCGCCGAGGACGAUAAUGACGGUACUCGGAGAAGAAGCUCCGGCUAACUUCGUGCCAGCAGCCGCGGUAAUACGAAGGGGGCUAGCGUUGUUCGGAUUUACUGGGCGUAAAGCGCGUGUAGGCGGGUCGUUAAGUUGGGGGUGAAAUCCCGAGGCUCAACCUCGGAACUGCUUCCAAAACUACAAAUCUGGACCUAAGUAGAGGCAAGUGGAAUUGCGAGUGUAGAGGUGAAAUUCGUAGAUAUUCGCAGGAACACCAGUGGCGAAGGCGACUUGCUGGACUUAUGGUGACGCUGAGACGCGAAAGCGUGGGGAGCAAACAGGAUUAGAUACCCAAGUAGUCCCUGAGCGGGCUGGCAAGGCGCAU
rnacentral:rRNA from 1 species